rnacentral:rRNA from 1 species
UACGUAGGGUGCAAGCGUUAAUCGGAAUACUGGGCGUAAAGCGUGCGCAGGCGGUGAUGUAAGACAGGUGUGAAAUCCCAGGGCUUAACCUUGGAACUGCAUUUGUGACUGCAUCGCUGGAGUGCGGCAGAGGGGGAUGGAAUUCCGCGUGUAGCAGUGAAAUGCGUAGAUAUGCGGAGGAACACCGAUGGCGAAGGCAAUCCCCUGGGCCUGCACUGACGCUCAUGCACGAAAGCGUGGGGAGCAAACAGG